rnacentral:rRNA from 1 species
UUGGAGGGCAAGUCUGGUGCCAGCAGCCGCGGUAAUUCCAGCUCCAAUAGCGUAUAUUAAAGUUGUUGCAGUUAAAAAGCUCGUAGUUGAACUUCGGGGUCUACCCAUUGGUCAGGCUUAAUUGUCUGCACUGGGGAGAUGGAUCUCUACCUUCUGAGGAACUUUCAUGCCGUUUAUUUGGGGUGAUGGGAAAUCACGACUGUUACUUUGAAAAAAUUAUAGUGUUGAAAGCAGACUAUCGUCUGAAUACAUUAGCAUGGAAUAAUGAAAUAGGACGGACUGAUUCUAUUUCGUUGGUUUCUAGGAUCACCGUAAUGAUUAAUAGGGAUAGUUGGGGGCAUUAGUAUUCAAUUGUUGAGGUGAAAUUCUUGGAUUUAUUGAAUACUAACUACUGCGAAAGCAUUUGCCAAGGAUGUUUUCAUUAAUCAAGAACGAAAGUUAGGGGAUCGAAGACGAUCAAAUACCGUCGUACUCUUAACCAUAAACUAUGCCGACUAAGGAUCGGGCGAAGUUAAUUUUAUAAUGACGCGUUCGGCACCUUACGGGAAACCAAAGUGUUUGGGUUC